rnacentral:rRNA from 1 species
AACGAACGCUGGCGGCAUGCCUAAUACAUGCAAGUCGAACGAACACUUCGGUGUUAGUGGCGCACGGGUGCGUAACGCGUGGGAAUCUACCCUUGGGUUCGGAAUAACGUCUGGAAACGGACGCUACUACCGGAUGAUGACGUAAGUCCAAAGAUUUAUCGCCCAGGGAUGAGCCCGCGUAGGAUUAGCUAGUUGGUGAGGUAAAGGCUCACCAAGGCUGCGAUCCUUAGCUGGUCUGAGAGGAUGAUCAGCCACACUGGGACUGAGACACGGCCCAGACUCCUACGGGAGGCAGCAGUAGGGAAUAUUGGACAAUGGGCGAAAGCCUGAUCCAGCAAUGCCGCGUGAGCGAUGAAGGCCUUAGGGUUGUAAAGCUCUUUUACCCGGGAUGAUAAUGACAGUACCGGGAGAAUAAGCCCCGGCUAACUCCGUGCCAGCCGCCGCCGUAA